rnacentral:rRNA from 1 species
CCCUAUCAGGUCUGGAUGGUAGGGUAUUGGCCUACCAUGCCUUUAACGGGUAACGGAGAAUUAGGGUUCGAUUCCGGAGAGGGGGCCUGAGAAAUGGCCACCACAUCCAAGGAAGGCAGCAGGCGCGUAAAUUACCCAAUCCUGACACAGGGAGGUAGUGACAAUAAAUAACAUCGCAGGGCUUUUUAAAGUCUUGCGUUAGGAAUGAGAACAAUUUAAACCCCUUAUCGAGGAUCAAUUGGAGGGCAAGUCUGGUGCCAGCAGCCGCGGUAAUUCCAGCUCCAAUAGCGUAUACUAAAGUUGUUGCAGUUAAAAAGCUCGUAGUUGAAUUUCUGGAUGCGAAAGAUGGUCGGCACCUCACGGUGUCUGUACUUUUCAUUCGCGUCCAUCCUCGGGAGGAACGUGUGGGGCUUUAAGUAGUUCUGCUCGGGAAUCUCGUCAUUUACUGUGAGCAAAAUAGAGUGUUCAAAGCAGGCUUAUGCCGUUGAAUAUAUUAGCAUGGAAUAAUAAGAUACGACUUUGGUCUAUUUUGUUGGUUUGCAUUCCAAAGUAAUGAUUAAUAGGGAUAGUUGGGGG